rnacentral:rRNA from 1 species
UACAGAGGGUGCAAGCGUUGCUCGGAUUUACUGGGCGUAAAGCGUACGCAGACGGCCACGCAGGUCGGGUGUGAAAGCCUCGGGCUUAACCUGGGAACUGCGUUUGAAACUGGGGAGCUGGAGUGUAGAAGAGGGGGGUGGAAUUCCAGGUGUAGCAGUGAAAUGCGUAGAUAUCUGGAGGAACACCGAUGGCGAAGGCAGCCCCCUGGGCUAACACUGACGCUCAUGCACGAAAGCGUGGGGAGCAAACAGG